UCCUGAUUUCUGUUUUUAUUAUACUUUAUAAUUGAAAAGCAAUUUAUAUUAUAUUCCAUUAAAAAAAUUGAAAUUACAAUAAUGAAAUUACAAAAAAAAUAAAAGUAAAUAAAGUGAUGAAAAUUUAUUUAAGCUAAAACAUGAUUGUAUCUUUUUAUCACAUGUAGAUGGAAAUGUGAUCUUGCAUUUAUUCUAAUUUCAUAAUCUUUU
rnacentral:lncRNA from 1 species